rnacentral:rRNA from 1 species
GACGAACGCUGGCGGCGUGCUUAACACAUGCAAGUCGAGCGGUAAGGCCCUUUCGGGGGUACACGAGCGGCGAACGGGUGAGUAACACGUGGGUGACUUGCCCUCAGCUCUGGGAUAAGCCUGGGAAACCGGGUCUAAUACUGGAUAUGACUCCAUGACGCAUGUUGUGGGGUGGAAAGCCUUGUGCGGCUGAGGAUGGGCCCGCGGCCUAUCAGCUUGUUGGUGGGGUGANGGCCUACCAAGGCGACGACGGGUAGCCGGCCUGAGAGGGCGACCGGCCACACUGGGACUGAGACACGGCCCAGGCUCCUACGGGAGGCAGCAGUGGGGAAUCUUGCGCAAUGGGCGAAAGCCUGACGCAGCGACGCCGCGUGAGGGAUGACGGCCU